GAUGAACGCUGGCGGCGUGCUUAACACAUGCAAGUCGAACGAAGCAUUUAGGAACGAAUCUUCGGAAGAGUUUCUAUCUGACUUAGUGGCGGACGGGUGAGUAACGCGUGGGUAACCUGCCUCACACAGGGGGAUAACAGUUAGAAAUGACUGCUAAAACCGCAUAACAUGGCGAGACCGCAUGACCUUGCCAUCAAAUAUUUAUAGGUGUGAGAUGGGCCCGCGUCUGAUUAGCUGGUUGGUGGGGUAAUGGCCACCAAGGCGACGAUCAGUAGCCGGCUUGAGAGAGUGAACGGCCACAUUGGGGACUGAGACACGGCCCAAACUCCUACGGGAGGCAGCAGU
rnacentral:rRNA from 1 species